rnacentral:rRNA from 1 species
UACAGAGGGGGCAAGCGUUGUUCGGAAUUACUGGGCGUAAAGGGCGCGUAGGCGCCUUCUAAGUCGAACGUGAAAUCCCCGGGCUCAACCCGGGAACUGCGUCCGAUACUGGAAGGCUUGAAUCCGGGAGAGGGAUGUGGAAUUCCAGGUGUAGCGGUGAAAUGCGUAGAUAUCUGGAGGAACACCGGUGGCGAAGGCGACAUCCUGGACCGGUAUUGACGCUGAGGUGCGAAAGCG